rnacentral:rRNA from 1 species
UACGAAGGGGGCUAGCGUUGCUCGGAAUCACUGGGCGUAAAGGGCGCGUAGGCGGAUCUUUAAGUCAGGGGUGAAAUCCUGGAGCUCAACUCCAGAACUGCCUUUGAUACUGGGGAUCUCGAGUCCGGAAGAGGUGAGUGGAACUCCGAGUGUAGAGGUGAAAUUCGUAGAUAUUCGGAAGAACACCAGUGGCGAAGGCGGCUCACUGGUCCGGUACUGACGCUGAGGUGCGAAAGCGUGGGGAGCAAACAGG